rnacentral:rRNA from 1 species
UACGUAGGGUGCAAGCGUUGUCCGGAUUUACUGGGCGUAAAGCGUGCGCAGGCGGUGAUGUAAGACAGUUGUGAAAUCCCCGGGCUCAACCUGGGAACUGCAUCUGUGACUGCAUCGCUGGAGUGCGGCAGAGGGGGAUGGAAUUCCGCGUGUAGCAGUGAAAUGCGUAGAUAUGCGGAGGAACACCGAUGGCGAAGGCAAUCCCCUGGGCCUGCACUGACGCUCAUGCACGAAAGCGUGGGGAGCAAACAGG